rnacentral:lncRNA from 1 species
AUUGCGAUCCCAAGGUUCACUGCGGUUUUCCACAAGCCUGUUUCUGCCUAUCACCAUGAGUGAUUCCUCAAUACUCAGAUUUAUCAUCAAGAUCUCAAUUAUAAGCUCAAGUUUUGAUGACAACUUGGUGAUCUGCAGAAAGCACCACCAUGUAAGGAAGGCCAAGACCACUCUGGAAUCAGUCAAGGCUCAUAGGAACUCCAAUCUUCCCAACUGUGAGAGGGCCUUGCUCCAGUGACUGUGAAAUGGAGUGAGGCAUACCAGGAUAUGCCUGGUUUUACUUUUGGGAAGGAGGUUGAACAGUGCAAUAUUUCUUCUAUAGGAUUGCAGUGACCAGACAUGCUACUGUAACUCUCAUGGUCAUGUGCUGGAAUUAGCAGAUAUUCAACAAUUUGGCCAUCUCGCUGACCUGUUGAUAUCAGAAGACCGCAGCAGCUCUGCAAAGCAAGUUGCAAAACAGAAUCCAUGAAACUGGCAGUGACUGGAAACCAAUUGGAAGACUUUGGUCUGUGAUGUAGAGGAGUGGGCAGAGGGUGAGGAAAUUCUUAUUAAUAUUACAUGUAGUCAUGAAAAAUUGUGUUACUAUUACUGUCUUUUUUUUUUUAGUAGCAGAAGCAAAGACAACAAAAAGAAGAAGUGAUAUGGAUGUCUUCGUCAUAUGGCAUGACUCUGCUGACCCAGCAACAAAGAGGAGGGUGUUCAACAUCAUCCUGCUAGUCAGGAUUCUUCAGGAGAAGCAGUGGAUUCUUGUGGCAGAGAUGGUCAACCACUAUAAAUACCUUUCAACUCAUCCUGGUUCUUUCAAAGAACUUUCUUGCUUGUUUGCUACUGAAAUGUACUGAUUCGACAUGUGGCCUUAACGAAGAGGGGUUAAAAGGUCUAUGGAUCAUCAUUCUCAAAAAGCAACAA